rfam:Salmo salar isolate Sally breed double haploid chromosome ssa25, whole genome shotgun sequence.
UGCAUGCACUACUGUAAGUCGCUCUGGAUAAGAGUGUCUGCUAAAUGACUAAAA